GUUGAGGAGUAUGAUCAUAUCUUGGUGAUAAUUGACAGAUUCUCAAAAUAUGAAACCUUUGUGCCGAUGUCAAGAUAUUGUUCAGCUGAAAAUACAACCCGUGCCUUCUUCAAACAUAUAGUGAAAUACUGGGGGAUCCCAAAAAGCAUUGUUAACGAUCGAGAUGGCUGAUUCAUAGGCUCCUCCUGGUCAGAAUUGUUUCACCUCUUAAGGACUAGAUUGGAUGUCUUCACCAGCUUUUAUCCACAAACAGAUGGCCAAACGGAAAGAUUCAAUGGUCUACUGGAGGAAUACUUGCGGCAUUUUGUAAAUGCCAGUCAGAAGAAUUGGGCCUCCUUGCUCGAUGUUGCACAAUUUUGUUUUAACUCUUUAAAGAGCUCUGCUACUAAUAAAAGUCCUUUUGAGAUUGUUUCAGGACAGCAACCUUUGGCACCUCACACAUUGGAUGGUCCAUACACCGGCAGGAAUCCCAAAGCAUACCACUUCAUGAAGGAGUGGAAGCAGACAGCUGAUAUUGCCAGAGCUCGAUUGGAAAAGGCAGCCAAGCGCAUGAAGAAAUGGGCAGAUGAAAAUCGACGACCACAGGAAUUCACAGUGGGAGACCUGGUGAUGGUGAAGUUACUUCCAGAACAACUCAGAUUUCUUCGCAACCGAGACAGCAGAUUGGUCCGCAAGUAUGAAGGGCCUAUGCCGAUCAUUGCCAAAGUGGGCCAAGUUUCCUACAAAGUAGAGCCACCAGCAUGGAUGAAGAUCCACCCAGUUUUCCAUGUGAGCAGGUUGAAGCCAUACCACGCCGAUCAAACUGAUGUCAGCCGCAACAAAUCCUUCAGGCCAGCCAUCACCACCGCACCACCAGUCAAUCAAGGAGUUGAAGAGAUUCUUGCCGAAAGAGUAGUCAGAACCACCAAGAGGCCGCCACACAAGGAGUAUCUCGUCAAAUGGAAGGGCUUAAGCGCAGAGGAGACCAGCUGGGAGAAAGCAACAGACCUCCAACAAUAUGUCCAGAAGAUUGAAGAUUUUCUACAAGCGCAGUCAACGAGGACGUCGACCAUUCAAGUGGGGGAGAAUGUCAAGGGGUAGGAAGUUUGGGGAGAAUGAUGUGUAAACUUAACCUCUUUAAGGGGCAAAAGAGACAAUUUGUAUUUUAUUUUUAUUUAUGUAAUU
rnacentral:misc_RNA from 1 species